AUUUGACCUCAAAUCAGGUAAGAAUACCCGCUGAACUUAAGCAUAUCAAUAAGCGGAGGAAAAGAAAAUAACAAUGAUUCCCCUAGUAACUGCGAGUGAAGAGGGACAAGCUCAAAUUUUAAAUCCGUCGGGUUACACCUGACCGAGUUGUAAUUUGAAGAGGCGUUUUCCGCGUUUUUGAUCAGUCCAAGUCCUUUGGGAUAGGGCAUCAUGGAGGGUGAGAAUCCCGUUCGGCUGAUCAGAUUCGCUUUACGAUACGUCAUCUAAGAGUCAAGUUGUUUGGGAAUGCAGCUUAAAAUGGGAGGUAAAUUUCUCCUAAGGCUAAAUAACGGCGAGAGACCGAUAGCGAACAAGUACCGUGAGGGAAAGAUGAAAAGAACUUUGAAAAGAGAGUUAAACAGUACGUGAAAUUGUUGAAAGGGAAACGAUUGAAGCCAGUCGUACCGGUGGGUAAUCAGCCUUUCGGCGUGAUUAUGUGGAGCGUGAGGAGUUAAACGCCCUCAUGGCCUGCAUAUUCGUGUUCUUUGGGUGUACUUACCCGCAUGGUAGGUUAACAUCAAUUUCGAACGUCAUAAAAUGGUUGGAGGAAUGUAGCUUCGAUCUCGUAUUGAAGUGUUAUAGACUCCGGCAGAUGUGAUGAUCGGGAUUGAGGAUUGCAACGGAUACCCUUCGGGGCUACCCGUCUGAUCUCUGAAAGUUGCUCUGGUGCCGAAAGCUCGCUUACGGUCAUCAAAGUUGACGUUCAACAGGUUAGAACGGGAUAAAUUCGUUAAGGAUGUUGACGUAAUGGCUUUAAACGACCCGUCUUGAAACACGGACCA
rnacentral:rRNA from 1 species